rnacentral:rRNA from 1 species
GACGUACUGCGCGAACGUUAUUCGGAAUCACUGGGCUUAAAGGGCGCGUAGGCGGCUUGCCAAGUCAGGGGUGAAAUCCAGCAGCUUAACUGUUGAAGUGCCUUUGAUACUGAUCGACUCGAAGGCAGGAGAGGGUAGUGGAAUUCCCGGUGUAGUGGUGAAAUGCGUAGAUAUCGGGAGGAACACCAGUGGCGAAGGCGACUACCUGGCCUGUUUCUUGACGCUGAGGCGCGAAAGCUAGGGGAGCAAACGGG